AGAAUCAACGCUGGCGGCGUGCCUAACACAUGCAAGUCGCACGAGAAAGGGUAGCAAUACCUGAGUAAAGUGGCGCACGGGUGAGUAACACGUGAAUUAUCUACCUCCGAGUGGGGAAUAACUGAGAGAAAUCUUAGCUAAUACCGCAUAACACUUACGAGUCAAAGCAGCAAUGCGCUUGGAGAGGAGUUCGCGGCCGAUUAGUUAGUUGGCGGGGUAAUGGCCCACCAAGGCUUAGAUCGGUA
rnacentral:rRNA from 1 species